CGAGAAAACUUUGCAAUGUGCGAAGGCACGACAAGGUUAAUCCGAGUGGUUUCUGCUAAAGGAACCUUUUGUCAGUCCUAGAAACACUGAUGAAUAAGGGGUGGGCAAGUUCUGGUGUCAGCCGCCGCGGUAAAAUCAGCACCUCAAGUGGUCAGGAGGAUUAUUGGGCCUAAAGCAUCCGUAGCCUGCUCUGUAAGUUUCCGGUUAAAUCCAUUAGCUCAACUGAUGGGCCGCCGGAAAAACUGCAAAGCUAGGGAGUGGGAGAGGUAGACGGUACUCGGUAGGAAGGGGUAAAAUCCUUUGAUCAUUGAUGACCACCUGUGGCGAAGGCGUCUACCAGAACACGUCCGACGGUGAGGGAUGAAAGCGUGGGGAGCAAACCGGAUUAGAUACCCGGGUAGUCCCAGCUGUAAACCGUGCAAACUCAGUGAUGCAUUGGCUUGUGGCCAAUGCAGUGCUGCGAGGG
rnacentral:rRNA from 2 species